UGGACGGAGCACUCAGCAUGCUGGGGAGCGAGAGACAUCCAUGGAAGGUGCUGAGCUAUCUCAGAGUUUUUGCAAGCUUCCCUGCUUUUUCCCCAUCAGUGUGUUAAAGAGGAAAUCCCCCUUACAAAUCUCCCCUCAGAGGGGCAUGUAAGGGACCAAAACCAUCUUAACCAGAGCCAGCAGCACAGGAUACCCUGUGGUACUGAACUUUGAUUCACGUACCACAAUGAAUGAAAGACGUGAUGGGAAACCUGAGCUGAAGAGAGCAGGAACGUAUGAGCAGUGCAAUUUUGGUCUUCUGGAAGUAUCAUUUCUGGGCACAUUCUGAGAAAUGCAUGUACAUCCAGACCAGGAAAGUGAAAACCUCCAAGUCUUUUCAAAGGUUGUACUGGACUGGAAACAACGGAGAACGGUUAUCUGUGUUUCAGGAGUGAAAUUUUAGGCAUAGUUGAAAACCUUCCCUGUGUAAGUUCGAGUUACUGCACUCUCUACGAGGACUGAUGCUCUCCAGUCAUUUGCUUUUCCUUCAUCUUGGUUUUCUGACUCUCUGAAGAGUUUAAACUCCUCCACUGUCUUGUUGAAAUACCAGCGUAGGCUGAGGAGAUGGUAGGUAAGCAAGUCCUGCUGGAAUGGCCACCUAACCAGAACUAUGUGCUGCAGCCCCUUCACAUUUGAAACUCCCAUUAACCUCAAUGUACUGCCAGGAGAUAGUCUGGAUUUAACUGUCUUCACCUCAAAAAGGGCAUUCACUGAACAAAGAGCCAGAGACAAAACUGCUACACUUGAGGAACAACCAGAACUGUACAUCAAUUUGCAUUUGCAAGUCUUUCCCUGAGGUUUUUUUUCCUAGCAGCUGCCAAGCAUUAAAUGGCUUUACUUGUAGGUAAUUUUAAAGUUAAUUUGUUUUGUAGAGAAAUUGCACUAUUCCGCUGUGUUUUUGCUCUCCUUUCUUGGUAGAGAUUUGCAAUCUGAAUAGCCCAAAUAAAAGCUGCGUUUGGGGGUUGGGGGGAAUUCAGCUUUAAGAAGUCUCAAGAUUUUACCCGAAGUUUCAAUAUUUGUUUCUUCCUCUGCUAUUCUUAGACAUGAAUGAACUCAUGACUGUUUAAGCUUUUUGUUGUUUUGUUUUUGUUUUUUUUUUAAGUUUGUUUCUACCUUUCACAUUUGUAACAUCUGAAAAUAGACAUACAUAAAGGAAUAGAUAAAUAAAUAAAUAGAAUAGUUAAAGGGUUAGAAGUUUAAAUAUUCCAGCUAUUUUUUUUUCUUGCUGGAAAACAAGAUUUUUAAGCCAGUUUCAGUAUUUUGGAAACCUGUAGGACACCAGUCUUAGGGUUAGCAAAACUACAUGCUUUGACAUGGGCUUGAAACCAGGAUGCUUAAAAAGGAAAAGAGAAAAAGAAAUAGAAAAAGAGAAAGAAAAAGGAGAAAAUGAAAAAAAAUGAGAAGAAAAAGGGAAGGG
ensembl:lncRNA